UGGGGAAUAUUGGACAAUGGACCAAGAGUCUGAUCCAGCAAUUCUGUGUGCACGAUGAAGUUUUUCGGAAUGUAAAGUGCUUUCAGUUGGGAAGAAAGAAAUGACGGUACCAACAGAAGAAGUGACGGCUAAAUACGUGCCAGCAGCCGCGGUAAUACGUAUGUCACGAGCGUUAUCCGGAUUUAUUGGGCGUAAAGCGCGUCUAGGUGGUUAUGUAAGUCUGAUGUGAAAAUGCAGGGCUCAACUCUGUAUUGCGUUGGAAACUGAAUAACUAGAGUACUGGAGAGGUAAGCGGAACUACAAGUGUAGAGGUGAAAUUCGUAGAUAUUUGUAGGAAUGCCGAUGGGGAAGCCAGCUUACUGGACAGAUACUGACGCUAAAGCGCGAAAGCGUGGGUAGCAAACAGG
rnacentral:rRNA from 1 species